rnacentral:misc_RNA from 1 species
AACGCACCUUGCGCUCCUUGGUAUUCCGAGGAGCAUGCCUGUUUGAGUGUCUUGAAGUCAUCAACCCCUCCCCGUUUCGUGCGGGCGCGGGUUGGACCUGGGGGUUUGCGGCCGUGAGGUUGCUCCCCUCAAAUGCAUCGGUUGGGCCUGUGGGUUCAAACUCGGACUGGGCGUUGUACCAUCCUCGCUCUCCACCCGAGUCGUCCCCCUUUCUGCGCCCCUCCCCGACCGCCUCUGGAGCGGCGGUCACAAGCAUAACUUUGAAAUCUGACCUCAAAUCAGGUAGGACUACCCGCUGAACUUAA